AGGUUAGGAUUUUAAACAAGAAGAUCGAUUUUAGUGAUAUUCAGUCCCGGUGUGGUUCCAGAGAUAACAUCAAACAUUCUGCAGGGGGAGGAAAUGUACAAAUCGUAACCAAGAAGAUCGACUUGAGUCAUGUGACUUCCAAGUGUGGCUCCCUCAAGAAUAUCCACCACAAGCCAGGAGGUGGGCGUGUGAAAAUUGAGAGCGUGAAACUGGAUUUCAAAGAAAAAGCUCAGGCUAAAGUUGGUUCACUGGAAAAUGCUCACCACGUACCUGGCGGUGGUAAUGUCAAGAUUGACAGCCAGAAGCUAAACUUCAGAGAGCAUGCUAAAGCCCGUGUCGAUCAUGGGGCUGAGAUCAUCACGCAGUCACCAGGCAGGUCCAGCGUGGCUUCGCCACGCAGACUCAGCAACGUCUCGUCCUCUGGAAGCAUCAACCUGCUUGAAUCGCCCCAGCUUGCUACCCUCGCUGAAGAUGUCACAGCAGCCCUUGCUAAGCAGGGCUUAUGAAUUUGCUCAUUUUGCGUUGUAUGAAGUAAUAAUACUUAGGCAUGAGCUCUUGGCAGGAAUGGGCUCAGAGCAGGUGUUACAUUCAUUCUUUACCAUGUCUAAAACUAAGUCACAUCCCAAGACUUGUAGCUACCAUACAGUUAAAAAAAAAAAAAAAAAACAAAAAAAAACAGAAAAAAAAAAAGUGAAUAGAUGCAGAAAUUGGCCUGAUCUCCAUUUACAACAGGAAGACACUGGCUUUACGUGGGUAUACAAGUACAGUAUGUUACAUUGGACAAUUAUUGUUGCUCUGCUCUGUCUUGCAUGGAGUACCAUAUAUGAUAAAAUGCAUUUUUACCUUCCAUGUGCCUGAAGGCCAUCCACCUCUAUCUGAAGAGCCUUGUUAAUACCCCAAGUUGCUCAUUUCACUGUUCUGUUGAUAGAUGGGGAAAUAAAAAAAGAAAAGUUGCCCAUUGUAAGUUAUUACAGGUUAAAUUAACAGUCUGCAUACCAGAAGGAAGGGCAUAUAAAGAAAUUCAAGUUUAAUUAAAAAAAAUGUGUUAUUUUGUAUAAAUGAGUAGAACAAAAGUUGAAUUAAGUUAUUAACAUUUUUUGGACCUGGUUAAUUAUGUCAGUGUAUAGCUGAAAAGCCAAUAAAUUAUUUAGCUAAUAACUAAAAACAGUAGUUGAAAACAUUUGAACCAUGCUUGGGGAAGUGACGUGAAAAAGCUGUUGAAAGCAAGCACUUCUACCCCAACAGACUUGUGUCUGAUUAGAAAGUUGGUUAAGCGGCUAGAUUUGUGUACACACCACCGGUUUCACAUCCUUUCCAUCUGUUUGAUACAGUAUUAUAGAUAUAUAUAUAUAUAUUUCUCUGUGGCCAUUUGUGAUAUGCCCUCCUCAUAUACUUGAAUAUUCUACUUCUUUAUUCACAGUAUCUGUGUCUCUUGCACCCUUUGGUGUUGCAAUUUUAGGUAUGUAAAAGUAGGUGUUAGCAGGGUUUUUUUUCCCUAUUCAUAAGAAUACAUUUAAAAAAGAUGAAAAUUUUAGCAUGAAGUUGCUUUCUGUAACAACUAAAAGCCGUGACCCUGUUUUAGUGCCAGAUGCAAGUCUCUUCCGUGAUGCUAGAAAAAGGAUUCCUUCCCUCUUCCCUUCCCUCCCUUUCUUCACAAAGGUAUGAUUUUUGUGGGGUCCAGAUGUUUGUAAAAGGGUCUGCAAAGAUGGCUGAGUUUGGAUUCUGGAUUUUUAAAAAAAUCCACAAUAGUUUGGUUCUGGCUUUUUUUCUUUCUUCCUUUUUUUUUUUUUAACUCCUGUAGUAAAAGUGAAUGUUAGAUUUAUUUAUUUUUUUUCUUUUGCUAAAGUUGAAACACAGAAAAAAGUAUUAAGAUGUUGUUUCCACUCCUUCAGUGAUGUCUUACGUAUACACUCAGGCACUCUGAUAACAGUGAUAAACAUAACAGAGAUGCCUGUAAACUAUAGUACGUGAAUAAAUAAAAUGAGCUCCCUAGACUGGGUUGCCAUAGCGAUUCAUCAAUAAAUAGGGCGUCUUAAAAUCUGAGCAAAGUGGGAUUAUAUUGACUAUAAAAAGUAUAAGAAAAAGUGUGCAUAAAAGAUAAAGGACAGAGAUAUAUAAACAACCGAUCUAACGGAGUUACCUGUGAGAACUCCAACAUGAUCUUAUGGACACUAAGAGAACACUGAAGGUAAUAUGGUAGUAUUACUCAUCAGCGGAUAAUAAUCUGCUGAUACUAUAUGUACAGUAGACAUUAUGAAAUGACCAGUUUACAUUCUUGCAGAUUGUUUGAUCUUUUCCUUUUGAAAUCUCUUAAUUAAACUUUGCACUGUCAGUUGAGCUAUACUUGAUACAUGUAUUAGGUUAACAUUGUGUGUUGGAAGCUUUUGAUCUGUUCUUUUUCCUUCUUAAUUUGUAUGUGUGCGCAUGUGUGUUGGGGUUUGAUCUGAAAAGACUCAUAGAAAAGAUUUUUAUGUCUGUGGAGAAGGAUUCUAAUAAUUAAUAGCACAGGAUUCCCCAUCAUUAAAUUCAGAUAGUAAAUGCAUAGUUACUAGACAGUAAAUAUUCAGUGGACCAAAGGGGGAUUUUGGCUAGGCUGUCACAGCAGUACAAAGAUAAAAGGGUUACAUCUCUAAAAACUUAAGACGAACUCCUCACAGCCCCACACAUGACAUUUCAGCUCUGCAGAAAGCUUUUUCACACUAUAAAGUACCUAAUACUGUUUGUAAGUCGGUUGUUUUAUGCAAAGGACAGCAAGUUUUAGAACCAUGCUGAGUGCAUUUUCAGGAUUCUGAUUUCUGCCUUGUAUUUGUUAUACUUCUGCUUAGAGUAAUCCUAAGAAUUCACAUGGAAGCAGUGUCAAGUGAGGUGCAUUAAAAGCCUCCUCCCAUUUUUCCAGAAAAACAACAGACAGAAAGAAAAAACAGCAAACCAGUAUUUAUAUAAUGUUGCUCUGAUCAUACUAUUGAUUAAUAUAAAUUAGCCUUGCAGUGGUUUUUUUUUUAUGCCUUUGGCCAAUGUGGGAGAGAGUCUAUGGUACUACUGAACCUCAGCUGAACACCAGCUGGUGAGAACAGUGUUAACCUGAGACACAAGGUUUUUUUAUUCUGCUUUUAAAAUCAACAUACUCUGUAAAAUGAAGCUUAGUUAAUCCAUCUGAGAGUCCCAGGUUAGAGCGGUGUAACACACUAAGUCGUUUAUUUCAUGCAUUAAAAUGAAAUCUCUUGUCUUGAUUCAAGCAAAGACCUUUGUAAUCAUAAUCAUCCUUCCAUAGAAAGAAUCCUAGAAUGCUGUGGAGUUAGAUAAAAAGAAAUCAAGAGUUUUGUGCUGU